rnacentral:rRNA from 1 species
AGUGAACGCUGGCGGUAGGCCUAACACAUGCAAGUCGAACGGCAGCACAGGAGAGCUUGCUCUCUGGGUGGCGAGUGGCGGACGGGUGAGGAAUACAUCGGAAUCUACUCUGUCGUGGGGGAUAACGUAGGGAAACUUACGCUAAUACCGCAUACGACCUACGGGUGAAAGCAGGGGAUCUUCGGACCUUGCGCGAUUGAAUGAGCCGAUGUCGGAUUAGCUAGUUGGCGGGGUAAAGGCCCACCAAGGCGACGAUCCGUAGCUGGUCUGAGAGGAUGAUCAGCCACACUGGAACUGAGACACGGUCCAGACUCCUACGGGAGGCAGCAGUGGGGAAUAUUGGACAAGGGGCGCAAGCCUGAUCCAGCCAUACCGCGUGGGUGAAGAAGGCCUUCGGGUUGUGAAGCCCUUUUGUUGGGAAAGAAAUCCAGCUGGCUAAUACCCGGUUGGGAUGACGGUACCCAAAGAAUAAGCACCGGCUAACUUCGUGCCAGCCGCCGCCGUAA